GACAGAGGUGCCGAGCGUUAGGCGGAAUCACUGGGCUUAAAGCGUGUGUAGGCGGAUCGUUAAGUGCCUUGUGAAAUCCCACGGCUUAACUGUGGAACGGCUGGGCAUACUGGCGGUCUUGAGCCAUCUAGGGGCGACUGGAACAAACGGUGGAGCGGUGAAAUGCGUAGAUAUCGUUUGGAACGCCAAUGGUGAAAACAGGUCGCUGGGGAUGUGCUGACGCUGAGACACGAAAGCCAGGGGAGCAAACGGG
rnacentral:rRNA from 1 species